UUGAACGCUGGCGGCAGGCCUAACACAUGCAAGUCGAGCGGUAGCACAGAGAGCUUGCUCUCGGGUGACGAGCGGCGGACGGGUGAGUAAUGUCUGGGAAACUGCCUGAUGGAGGGGGAUAACUACUGGAAACGGUAGCUAAUACCGCAUAAUGUCGCAAGACCAAAGUGGGGGACCUUCGGGCCUCAUGCCAUCAGAUGUGCCCAGAUGGGAUUAGCUAGUAGGUGGGGUAACGGCUCACCUAGGCGACGAUCCCUAGCUGGUCUGAGAGGAUGACCAGCCACACUGGAACUGAGACACGGUCCAGACUCCUACGGGAGGCAGCAGUGGGGAAUAUUGCACAAUGGGCGCAAGCCUGAUGCAGCCAUGCCGCGUGUGUGAAGAAGGCCUUCGGGUUGUAAAGCACUUUCAGCGGGGAGGAAGGCGUUAAGGUUAAUAACCUUGGCGAUUGACGUUACCCGCAGAAGAAGCACCGGCUAACUCCGUGCCAGCAGCCGCGGUAAUACGGAGGGUGCAAGCGUUAAUCGGAAUUACUGGGCGUAAAGCGCACGCAGGCGGUCUGUCAAGUCGGAUGUGAAAUCCCCGGGCUCAACCUGGGAACUGCAUUCGAAACUGGCAGGCUAGAGUCUUGUAGAGGGGGGUAGAAUUCCAGGUGUAGCGGUGAAAUGCGUAGAGAUCUGGAGGAAUACCGGUGGCGAAGGCGGCCCACUGGACAAAGACUGACGCUCAGGUGCGAAAGCGUGGGGAGCAAACAGGAUUAGAUACCCUGGUAGUCCACGCCGUAAACGAUGUCGAUUUGGAGGUUGUGCCCUUGAGGCGUGGCUUCCGGAGCUAACGCGUUAAAUCGACCGCCUGGGGAGUACGGCCGCAAGGUUAAAACUCAAAUGAAUUGACGGGGGCCCGCACAAGCGGUGGAGCAUGUGGUUUAAUUCGAUGCAACGCGAAGAACCUUACCUGGUCUUGACAUCCACAGAACUUAGCAGAGAUGCUUUGGUGCCUUCGGGAACUGUGAGACAGGUGCUGCAUGGCUGUCGUCAGCUCGUGUUGUGAAAUGUUGGGUUAAGUCCCGCAACGAGCGCAACCCUUAUCCUUUGUUGCCAGCGGUUAGGCCGGGAACUCAAAGGAGACUGCCAGUGAUAAACUGGAGGAAGGUGGGGAUGACGUCAAGUCAUCAUGGCCCUUACGACCAGGGCUACACACGUGCUACAAUGGCAUAUACAAAGAGAAGCGACCUCGCGAGAGCAAGCGGACCUCAUAAAGUAUGUCGUAGUCCGGAUUGGAGUCUGCAACUCGACUCCAUGAAGUCGGAAUCGCUAGUAAUCGUAGAUCAGAAUGCUACGGUGAAUACGUUCCCGGGCCUUGUACACACCGCCCGUCACACCAUGGGAGUGGGUUGCAAAAGAAGUAGGUAGCUUAACCUUCGGGAGGGCGCUUACCACUUUGUGAUUCAUGACUGGGGUG
rnacentral:rRNA from 1 species